GGGGGUGUAGCUCAGUCGUAGAGCAUUUGUUUAGCAUGUGUGAGGCCCUAGGUUCCAUCCCCAGUACCCCCA
rnacentral:tRNA from 1 species